rnacentral:rRNA from 1 species
AGAGUUUGAUCAUGGCUCAGAACGAACGCUGGCGGCAGGCUUAACACAUGCAAGUCGAACGCACCUUUCGGGGUGAGUGGCAGACGGGUGAGUAACGCGUGGGAACGUGUCCUUCAGUUCGGGAUAACCCAGGGAAACUUGGGCUAAUACCGGAUACGUGCGAGAGCAGAAAGAUUUAUCGCUGAAGGAUCGGCCCGCGUCUGAUUAGCUAGUUGGUAGGGUAAUGGCCUACCAAGGCGACGAUCAGUAGCUGGUCUGAGAGGAUGAUCAGCCACAUUGGGACUGAGACACGGCCCAAACUCCUACGGGAGGCAGCAGUGGGGAAUAUUGGACAAUGGGCGCAAGCCUGAUCCAGCCAUGCCGCGUGAGUGAUGAAGGCCUUAGGGUUGUAAAGCUCUUUCGUCCGGGACGAUAAUGACGGUACCGGAAGAAGAAGCCCCGGCUAACUUCGUGCCAGCAGCCGCGGUAAUACGAAGGGGGCUAGCGUUGUUCGGAAUCACUGGGCGUAAAGGGCGCGUAGGCGGCUUUGUAAGUCGGGGGUGAAAGCCUGUGGCUCAACCACAGAAUUGCCUUCGAUACUGCAUGGCUUGAGACCGGAAGAGGUAAGUGGAACUGCGAGUGUAGAGGUGAAAUUCGUAGAUAUUCGCAAGAACACCAGUGGCGAAGGCGGCUUACUGGUCCGGUUCUGACGCUGAGGCGCGAAAGCGUGGGGAGCAAACAGGAUUAGAUACCCCAGUAGUCC